GUCGAACGCUCCGCAAGGGGAGUGGCGCACGGGUGAGUAACGCGUGGGAACCUGCCCUGGGGUGGGGGAUAACCGAUGGAAACGUCGGCUAAUACCGCAUACGUCCUGAGGGAGAAAGAUUUAUCGCCCUGGGAGGGGCCCGCGUCGGAUUAGCUAGUUGGUGGGGUAACGGCCUACCAAGGCGAUGAUCCGUAGCUGGUCUGAGAGGAUGAUCAGCCACACUGGGACUGAGACACGGCCCAGACUCCUACGGGAGGCAGCAGUGGGGAAUAUUGGACAAUGGGCGCAAGCCUGAUCCAGCAAUGCCGCGUGAGUGAUGAAGGCCUUAGGGUUGUAAAGCUCUUUCGGCGGGGACGAUGAUGACGGUACCCGCAGAAGAAGCCCCGGCUAACUUCGUGCCAGCAGCCGCGGUAAUACGAAGGGGGCAAGCGUUGUUCGGAAUUACUGGGCGUAAAGGGCGCGCAGGCGGCCUCUCAAGUCAGAUGUGAAAGCCCCGGGCUCAACCUGGGAAUAGCAUUUGGGACUGUGAGGCUAGAGAUCGGGAGAGGAGAGUGGAAUUCCCAGUGUAGAGGUGAAAUUCGUAGAUAUUGGGAAGAACACCAGUGGCGAAGGCGGCUCUCUGGACCGAUACUGACGCUGAGGCGCGAAAGCGUGGGGAGCA
rnacentral:rRNA from 1 species